GUUUUCAUUGGUUACACUCAGCGGGACUUUCUCAAGGGAAAAGGCUUAUCUCUUCCUGUGUUUAGCAGAAUGGUAGCAACUGAAGAACACAUUUAAAAUGGCUUGGCUAUUUGGUGCAGCAGCACUAGGAGGUAAAGCAGGGUUGGGUGCAGUUUUAGGCCCUGUUGGUCUUUGUGUUGGUGGGCUUGCACUUGUGGGGCAUGCAGUUUAUCUCGCAGGCAGACACCGGAGAGGGGGUGGAGGGCCACCGAAGAAAUCAAUCACACAGAAGCAGCAGGAUGGAGACAUGGAUUCAUCUGAGGUGGCUGAUCAUUUGAACCUUGGAGCUACGGACACAUACGGAAAUAUCUUACGUUAUGGAAGACCCUUUGUUUCUGGUGAAGAUGGGGAUAAAUACUACGUUGAAGCUGAUCAUAUCCCACCGCUGCAGUCCUUCCGUAUGGCUCGAAGGCUGCCCGCGUUUAGCUCUCUCAGACGCAUUAAUCCAAGACUUCAUGAAUUGGUGAUGAGCCUGGAAAAUGAUACAAGAGGAUUGAACCUACUCACUGUGCAGGUCUCCACCCAUCAUCACCGGGAUGCUCUGUCUUCUGGUUCAAGUAAUGUAUCUAGACAGUGCAGGGAACUAAUUGCACACAGAAUGGCAGAUGGAGACGUAACGAAAAUGCUGAAGCAGGCUUUUAUCAUCGCUCACCCUUACGCUUCCCAGCAAAUAAGAGAUGAAGCAGGACUUGGCAACAAACCCCGCCCCAAAAAAAUCUUUCUGUCAAAAGACAGAACCAUGAACAUUUACAGAGCUGCCUUCCUUGAACUGAUACGUAAAUACCAUGCGAUGGGGAUCAUUGGUGAUGAAGAUCGUAAUGAACUGAUUCAAUAUGUGCAGCACGACAUGUAUCUCGACAGCGAAUCUGAGCUGUAUCAACAAAUUGUUCGAAUUGUUAGGCAGUUUGGUGGACAUAAUCACUAGAGGUUGUCCACAGGCCAAGCUGAGUUCAUGAGUAUGCCACCAUUCACCUUUUCACGUUUGCAAAAAAAUAUAUAUUUCCACAGUCUUUAACAUAUGUACUUUUAAAUAACUUGUAUGUUUGUAUGUAUGUUCUUACUUUGAGUGCUUUAAUCUUGUUCUACACUUAAAAUGUACUCUUUACAAAAGUUCUGUAUCUCUGUUCUGUUAUAGAAGGCUAAUCGGAUAUAUCCUCUUGAGACUCGGCAGAAAAAAAUAGUUGAAAGUAUUAAUAUUUUUUGACAACAAAAAAAAAUGUAUCGGAUGACAAAAACAUGUUGCAUGAAAAUAUUUUCAAAAAUAUUGCAUCAUUUUUUAAAAUUCAUUGAAUGUGUAUGUUUCAUUGGAGUAGAAUAUAUGGUUCUUGAUAUUGAGACCAGAGAGCCAUUUUGUCAGGGGGAUAUGAUGUAAGUCACUUUUGUGAUAAUGCAUUGUUUCCUGACUGACCAGUUUACCAGUUUGUCGUGAUUAGGCGUAGGCAUGACUUUGAGCCAGGGCCAUGUGGAAGUGACUGUUUGCUGGAAUGGUUAAAGGCACAAGAGAACGGAGCCCGCCAAAUGAAGUCGACGGGUAAGACAAAGCUGUGGACAACGUAACCUGCCGUGUUGAAGAUGAGAUGACAUGACACGUGGAUGACAUGACACGUGGAUGACACAACGAGGGAAACAACGAGGGAGUGGCUCGUAGAAAAGUGUCUUGAGAAGAUAUAAAAGGCCGAGAGUUUUUAGCGUACAAAAACAAAGCGAAAGAUUUGAAGGCCGAAGAAGAGAGCAGGAAGACAGGCAGACAGGAAGACGGGCGCCAUUGAGCGGGAGAAAAGCAGCAGAGAGAGGAAGUGCAUGAGAAGUCCCAGUGAUACAGAUUAGAUGCAGUUUUUGGAGAAGCAAUUUCUGAGGAACUUAAAUUUUUGGAAGACCAACUCAAGCCUGUUAUCUGAUUAGCAACAUUUAUCUUUUGUGAGGCCACAGGAUAGUGAGAAACAAAGGUUUUAAAAAAUAUAUUUUUUUAAUUUUGUUUUUAUUCUUGCCUUGAAAUUAUAAGAUGCAUAGCAAGCUGCUUGGCUGAAGGUUCUGAAAUGAUAUGACUCACAAUAACAUGCUUGGCUGAAGAUUUUUUCUGAAUAUAUAAGAUUAAAAUUAUCCAUGUUUAGUUAAAACUUAGCUUAGGAAAGUGGUUUAUAUCACCUGUGGAAGCUGUAACUUGCAGAUUACCUACAGAGCUGUGAAUGUGUGGUUAUUGUACUCAAAUAAAAAUGUACUCAUAUUUAUAAUCAA